GAUGAACGCUGGCGGCGUGCCUAACACAUGCAAGUCGAGCGAUUCUCUUCGGAGAAGAGCGGCGGACGGGUGAGUAACGCGUGGGUAACCUGCCCUGUACACACGGAUAACAUACCGAAAGGUAUGCUAAUACGAGAUAAUAUGCUUUUAUCGCAUGGUAGAAGUAUCAAAGCUCUGGCGGUACAGGAUGGACCCGCGUCUGAUUAGCUAGUUGGUAAGGUAACGGCUUACCAAGGCGACGAUCAGUAGCCGACCUGAGAGGGUGAUCGGCCACAUUGGAACUGAGACACGGUCCAAACUCCUACGGGAGGCAGCAGUGGGGAAUAUUGCACAAUGGGCGAAAGCCUGAUGCGGCAACGCCGCGUGAGCGAUGAAGGCCUUCGGGUCGUAAAGCUCUGUCCUCAAGGAAGAUAAUGACGGUACUUGAGGAGGAAGCCCCGGCUAACUACGUGCCAGCAGCCGCCGCAG
rnacentral:rRNA from 1 species